rnacentral:rRNA from 1 species
UACAGAGGGUGCAAGUGUUGUUCGGAAUUAUUGGGCGUAAAGCGCGUGUAGGCGGCUUGUUAAGUCGGGUGUGAAAGCCCUCAGCUCAACUGAGGAAGGGCGCCCGAAACUGGCGAGCUUGAGUGUCGGAGAGGAUGGCGGAAUACCCCAAGUAGAGGUGAAAUUCGUAGAUAUGGGGUGGAACACCGGUGGCGAAGGCGGCCAUCUGGACGAUAACUGACGCUGAGACGCGAAAGCGUGGGGAGCAAACAGG